GGCUGGGCAGAAGGUAGUGAGUUAUCUCACUUGAUUGUUCACAGUCAGUUACAGAUUUAACUCCUUGUUUUACUCUAGCCCACCUUCUCACUACUGCACUUGCCUAGUCUUAA
rnacentral:Y_RNA from 1 species